CCUGACCUCCACUUGUUAAUGGGCCAGUUUUAAUGCUGCGACUGACUAAUAGUAACGCACAGUGACUUGAAGAAGUAACUUUAAUCUGAUUACUGAUUU